CAGGGAAUCUUGGGCAAUGGGCGAAAGCCUGACCCAGCGACGCCGCGUGGGGGAUGAAGGUCCAAGGGCUGUAAACCCCUUUUCCGAGGGAAGAGAUAGGACGGUACCUCGGGAAUAAGCCCCGGCUAACUACGUGCCAGCAGCCGCGGUAACACGUAGGGGGCAAGCGUUACCCGGAUUUACUGGGCGUAAAGGGCGCGUAGGCGGCUGGUUAAGUCUCCUGUGAAAGCUCCAGGCUUAACUUGGAGAGGUCAGGGGAUACUGACUAGCUCGAGGACAGUAGAGGAAGGCGGAAUUCCCGGUGUAGCGGUGGAAUGCGUAGAUAUCGGGAGGAACACCAGUGGCGAAGGCGGCCUUCUGGGCUGUUCCUGACGCUGAGGCGCGAAAGCGUGGGUAGCAAACCGGAUUAGAUACCCGUGUAGUCC
rnacentral:rRNA from 1 species